UGGGGAAUUUUGGACAAUGGGCGCAAGCCUGACCCAGCCAUGCCGCGUGCGGGAAGAAGGCCUUCGGGUUGUAAACCGCUUUUGUCAGGGAAGAAAUCUUCUGAGUUAAUACCUCGGGAGGAUGACGGUACCUGAAGAAUAAGCACCGGCUAACUACGUGCCAGCAGCCGCGGUAAUACGUAGGGUGCAAGCGUUAAUCGGAAUUACUGGGCGUAAAGCGUGCGCAGGCGGUUUUGUAAGACAGAGGUGAAAUCCCCGGGCUCAACCUGGGAACUGCCUUUGUGACUGCAAGGCUUGAGUGCGGCAGAGGGGGAUGGAAUUCCGCGUGUAGCAGUGAAAUGCGUAGAUAUGCGGAGGAACACCGAUGGCGAAGGCAAUCCCCUGGGCCUGCACUGACGCUCAUGCACGAAAGCGUGGGGAGCAAACAGGAUUAGAUCCCUGGUAGUCCACGCCCUAAACGAUNUCAACUGGUUGUUGGGAAGGUUCCUUCUCAGUAACGUAGCUAACGC
rnacentral:rRNA from 1 species